UUUCUUGUAGGUUGAAUCGUGGCCAUGGAGGUUUGAAUGAAGGUUUCUCUUGUUCUUGUAGAUUGCAAGGAGAAGGAAUUCAUGAUGGUGGUUUUGGAAUGAGGUUACUAGUGGUUGUGAUGGGUGUGAUUUGUUGUUUCAGAUUCGUGUUUGCACGAAAGAGAGGAACGAGAAAGCUUUCGGGGUGGCCGACAUGGUGGUGGACUGAGGGAGAUGGUGGUUGCUGGGGU
rnacentral:lncRNA from 1 species